rnacentral:rRNA from 1 species
UACGUAGGGGGCGAGCGUUGUCCGGAAUUAUUGGGCGUAAAGAGCUCGUAGGCGGUCUGUCGCGUCUGCUGUGAAAACUCGGGGCUUAACCCCGGGCCUGCAGUGGGUACGGGCAGACUAGAGUGCGGUAGGGGAGACUGGAAUUCCUGGUGUAGCGGUGAAAUGCGCAGAUAUCAGGAGGAACACCGGUGGCGAAGGCGGGUCUCUGGGCCGUAACUGACGCUGAGGAGCGAAAGCAUGGGGAGCGAACAGG